rnacentral:rRNA from 1 species
AGCCUUUCGGGGAACCAGGAGACAGGUGCUGCAAGGCUGUCGUCAGCUCGUGUCGUGAGAUGUUGGGUUAAGUCCCGCAACGAGCGCAACCCUUAUCUUUAAUUGCCAGCAUUCAGUUGGGCACUUUAAAGAGACUGCCGGUGUUAAACCGGAGGAAGGUGGGGAUGACGUCAAGUCCUCAUGGCCUUUAUGCUUAGGGCUACACACGUGCUACAAUGGGUGGUACAAAGAGAAGCCAACUCGCGAGAGCGCGCUAAUCUCAAAAAGCCAUCCUCAGUUCGGAUUGGAGUCUGCAACUCGACUCCAUGAAGUUGGAAUCGCUAGUAAUCGCGGAUCAGCAUGCCGCGGUGAAUACGUUCCCGGGCCUU